rfam:Bacillus thermoamylovorans genome assembly, strain 1A1, contig: A1A_CC45
AGCACCUUUAAAUCAGUCCAGAGAGUCUGAGAAGGGAACGGAUUAUUUUUUAAAAAAGAAACAGUUUAUUCUCCUGCCCUCUUUGGCAGGAGUUUUUUAUU